UGGGGAAUAUUGCACAAUGGGCGCAAGCCUGAUGCAGCCAUGCCGCGUGUGUGAAGAAGGCCUUCGGGUUGUAAAGCACUUUCAGCGAGGAGGAAGGCGGUGAGCUUAAUACGCUCAUCAAUUGACGUUACUCGCAGAAGAAGCACCGGCUAACUCCGUGCCAGCAGCCGCGGUAAUACGGAGGGUGCAAGCGUUAAUCGGAAUUACUGGGCGUAAAGCGCACGCAGGCGGUUCGUUAAGUCAGAUGUGAAAUCCCCGGGCUCAACCUGGGAACUGCAUUUGAAACUGGCAAGCUAGAGUCUCGUAGAGGGGGGUAGAAUUCCAGGUGUAGCGGUGAAAUGCGUAGAGAUCUGGAGGAAUACCGGUGGCGAAGGCGGCCCCCCUGGANGAAGACUGACGCUCAGG
rnacentral:rRNA from 1 species